AUGCUGAAAAUACGGCUAAGAGGUGAAGUGGACAGCUGGAAUUUUAACACCGACGUUUCAAACUGUCUGAUACGUGUAGUACCGUUUCCUCCUCCAUUAAAAAAAUGGCGUUUUGGAGAACAAAAAAAUGGUCAUACAUGUACAGAAAACAUAACUCAAGUAUACCUGACGAGAUGGACGUUUGUAGUAUGUUUGACUCAAGUGAUGAGUCCGACUCAAGUGACGAGUCAGACUCAAGUGAUGAGGCGGACUCAAGUGAUGAGUCAGACUCAAGUGAUGAGGCGGACUCAAGUGAUGAGUGCGACUCAAGUGAGGAGUCAGACUCAGCCGAUAAGUCUAAAACGGGAUAUAAAAGAAUUAAAAGUAAACAUCCGAGAAGAACUUAUAAUGUUGAAGACAAAAAGGAAAACGGGAAUAUUAUACAGCAUAUAUACAAUACAGGUCUUGAUCAUGAUGAUUGGAGCGAGGCUAUGGACACUUUUUUGUAUUCCAAAGAAGAGUCACAAAGCUAACUCUGAGGGUUUGAGAGAUCUUCUGAGACAUAAACGAUGUAACAUCAAAGCCUUCAACAUGGGUGUCUGGAAGGAAUUACUAAACACUGUGGAUGUGCUAUCAAAAGUAAAAACGAAACUGAUAGGUGGAUAUAACAGAAUUCAGUACGCAAACAAGAGAAGCAGAGGAUAUGAAGAUGACCUUAUUAAGAAAGAUCUGACGUACUUGAAAUCAUAUAAGAAAUAA
rnacentral:sRNA from 1 species